CCGAAAGUAGAAUGAUCAAGAAUGAUCAAGCAUGGUUGACCUCUUGGUUUGACAAAUAUUUCAUGAAAUCAUAUGGUGGAGAACUCUGUGGGCGAAGAGGAUCUAAACAUGUUGGUGAUAUACCUACCAAAGAAAGGCAAAAGAUAUAAAGACACUUCCUCUCACUGUUCUCUGUAACCUCUUUCAACAGUGAAGAAAUCCAAGGGGAUGCUGGGGCAUAACUUUAUUGAAACCAGAGUUCUGGCCUGUGGUUACAAACUUCAGAAGUGGAGAACUGGGUGGGUGAGGAGGAUCCAAACAUUUUGGUGAUAUACCUUCCAAAGAAAGACAAAUGAUAUAAAGACACUUCCUCUCACUGUUACCCUUUUAAACAGUGAUGAAAUCAAGGGGGUGCUGGGGCAUACAUUUAUUGAAACCAGAGUUCUGGUCCGUGGAUACACACUUCAGAAGUAUCUUUUGUUAUGUUGCAUAUAAUAGAAAAACUUGGGUUUAGUGGUAAAUAGAGCAAAGAUUUUUGCAGAAAAUCGAGACUUUAAAAUAGUGUGUUUGAAUUAAAAUUUACUUUUAAUACAUAAUCAUAUUAACAGUUCAAAGCGAAAGUUAUUUUGAAUAGAGAGAGAAACACUCUUUUGAUAGAAGAAAACAAGAAGAAGCGACAUAUUUUAAAGGCAAAAUUGUUGUCCACUUUGACUUCAGGAGAUAGAACAUACAUCUUACAUUGUUUAAUUAUUUGAAGGUUGCAAAUUCAUGCAUUCAUAUCGAUAAAAUACAAAAUAAAAAAUAGAAAAUGAUUUUAAAUUGUGUAUGUGUGUGAUUGUGAUAUGUUAUAUAAGCAUUAGUUAAAGACAACAUUACAAUA